rnacentral:tRNA from 2 species
GCCUCUGUAACUCAGCCUGGUAGAGUGCGUGCAUGGUAAGCACGAAGUCGUGGGUUCGAAUCCCAUCGGAGGCU